rnacentral:rRNA from 1 species
UACGUAGGGUGCAAGCGUUAAUCGGAAUUACUGGGCGUAAAGCGUGUGUAGGUGGUUGUCAUAGUCAGGUGUGGAAGCCUUGAGCUCAACUCAAGAAAUGCACUUGAUACUGGGCAACUAGAGGACCGGAGAGGAUAGUGGAAUUCCCAGUGUAGUGGUGAAAUACGUAGAGAUUGGGAAGAACACCAGUGGCGAAGGCGGCUAUCUGGACGGUUUCUGACACUAAGACACGAAAGCGUGGGGAGCAAACAGG